rnacentral:rRNA from 1 species
AACGAACGCUGGCGGCAGGCUUAACACAUGCAAGUCGAACGCCCCGCAAGGGGAGUGGCAGACGGGUGAGUAACACGUGGGAACGUGCCUUUUGGUUCGGAACAACUCCGGGAAACUGGAGCUAAUACCGGAUAAGCCCUUCGGGGGAAAGAUUUAUCGCCAAAAGAUCGGCCCGCGUCUGAUUAGCUAGUUGGUGGGGUAAUGGCCCACCAAGGCGACGAUCAGUAGCUGGUCUGAGAGGAUGGCCAGCCACACUGGGACUGAGACACGGCCCAGACUCCUACGGGAGGCAGCAGUGGGGAAUAUUGGACAAUGGGCGCAAGCCUGAUCCAGCCAUGCCGCGUGAGUGAUGAAGGCCUUAGGGUUGUAAAGCUCUUUCGCCGAGGACGAUAAUGACGGUACUCGGAUAAGAAGCCCCGGCUAACUUCGUGCCAGCAGCCGCCGUAAGAC